ensembl:rRNA 5S_rRNA 5S ribosomal RNA
AUCUACAGCCAUACCAAUCUGAAUAUGCCCAAUCUCGCCUGAUCUUGGAAGCUAAGCAGGGAUGGGCCUGAUUAGUAUGUGGAUGGGAGAGAAAAUGAUGAAGCAAAUGUGGCAA